rnacentral:miRNA from 1 species
GUGGUUUUGAUGCCAUCUUGGA